rnacentral:rRNA from 1 species
UACGUAGGGCGCAAGCGUUGUCCGGAAUUAUUGGGCGUAAAGAGCUCGUAGGUGGUUUGUCGCGUCCGCUGUGAAAACCCGAGGCUCAACCUCGGGCCUGCAGUGGGUACGGGCAGACUAGAGUGCGGUAGGGGAGACUGGAAUUCCUGGUGUAGCGGUGAAAAUGCGCAGAUAUCAGGAGGAACACCGAUGGCGAAGGCAGGUCUCUGGGCCGAUACUGACGCUGAGGAGCGAAAGCGUGGGGAGCAAACAGG